UUUGACAUUUUUUUACAUUUAAGUAGAUCACCAUGUAAACUUAAUGUUCCAUGAAUGCAGCUUCCGUAUACAUUUAAUUUAUUGUUGUUGUUGUUUUUUUCUUUUUCUUUUUGUUUGUUUUUACAGGAAAAAUUUGGGUGUGAGAAAGGAAAAAAUCAUAAUAAUAUACAAAUUAUACAGACUUUGAAGCUUCACAGCUUAAUUAAAUCAAAUAAUGUAAUUACAGUAUCUUAGUUGCAUUAUUAAGGUAGGUAUCAGGGAAGUCCAUGAACUCAGUUGCCCUUGACCAACACUGCAGAGUAAAGCAAUGUAGGACCUUUUGAACAACAACAAAAAUCUCUUUCAUCUUCACUUUGUGACUUAUUAAAAGAUUGUCCAUAUUAAAAGUCCCUGCCUAAUCACCAUUAAUCUACUUGUUACUAGAAGAAUUCAUGCUAAUGCUGUGGCAGUUAAGCCAUGGACAUUACUAUUCAAUGUCAUUAGACUAAAUUAGUAUCCUAGGAGACAGCCUCUCCCAUAUACCAUGUUGAAAGUGCAGUAUUUAAGGCCCUUUGUUCCCAACAUGACUAAUAUACAAAGUAUCACAGUACUGACAUUGCUUAUGUAGAGGACAGUCAAUUGACUUAAGGAUCUAAAGGAAGAGCAAAUGCUUAGCAAAUGCAGGUAAAUUACUACUCUUGCACUGCCUAUUCUACAAGCUUUGGAUACAGUAUCAGAGGAUAGGUUUAUGGUUCUGUUGUGGAUUAAGUUGUGGAAAAUAUCACAAUAAAACUGUGUAAAACUGUCCUCAAAGCACAUGAAGAAUGAAAAUAAGGGUUGAUUCACCUCUCAGUGGGAUAUGAGCUCCUAGUAUAAAGAUUUAAAGUGUCGUUCCACUGAGCCAUCCUCUUAAAUAACUGCUAUAUGUGUAAAGAGAAGGUGUGCUGCAGGCAGUGUCUUCCAGCCCACCCAAGACUUCUGCUUUUCUUUUGCUUCCUCAGCCUCAGCCACUGCUGCACACGCUGUGCUCUGUGGAAUGAAGCAAAACACAGGCCAGAAGGGAAAAAAAAGUUCUCCUUCUUGCAGCUUUCUUUGUUCCCUCAAGCACAAGGGCACUUAUAUCCACAUAUGGACACACCACUCCUACCACCCAAGCUCAGGUCAAAUUGAAAUGGAAAAAUUUAAAUUUUUGCAGUCAGUUGUGAAAGGUAGGUGAUAGUUCUUACGCAAUCCCAAGUAUGUGGUAGUUUAGACCUACUGUUUUCUUCUUCUGAAGUCUGCCUAUGUCCUAAAGAGAAAUAUGCAGAAAUAUCCAUUCUAUUCUGAUGGUGUUUGUCAAUCCUAAUGUUUACUUAUUUAUCCAGAACUGCAGUACACACACACACACACACACACAAAUAAAUAAAUGAAAAAUAUUGUGGAUGCA
rnacentral:lncRNA from 1 species